AACGAACGCUGGCGGCAUGCCUAACACAUGCAAGUCGAACGAGACCUUCGGGUCUAGUGGCGCACGGGUGCGUAACGCGUGGGAACCUGCCCUUAGGUUCGGAAUAACUCCCCGAAAGGGGUGCUAAUACCGGAUAAUGUCUUCGGACCAAAGAUUUAUCGCCUUUGGAUGGGCCCGCGUUGGAUUAGCUAGUUGGUAGGGUAAAAGCCUACCAAGGCGACGAUCCAUAGCUGGUCUGAGAGGAUGAUCAACCACACUGGGACUGAGACACGGCCCAGACUCCUACGGGAGGCAGCAGUGGGGAAUAUUGGACAAUGGGCGAAAGCCUGAUCCAGCAAUGCCGCGUGAGUGAUGAGGGCCUUAGGGUUGUAAAGCUCUUUUACCCGGGAUGAUAAUGACAGUACCGGGAGAAUAAGCUCCGGCUAACUCCGUG
rnacentral:rRNA from 1 species